GAAUAAUGAGAAUUGACUGUAUUUUAAAAAAUAAUAACUUUUAACUAAAUAUAAUGUAAAAGAGAAGAACAUGCUUAUUUCUCAAACCAAAAAUAUUUUUGAUUUGCAAAAUGAACUAGUUGUUCUCAUUUAUUUUGUGUUAUUUGAACCAGAACUAACUUUUUUUUAAUAUAAUGUUUUAUUAAUAAAUUGAAUAAUCUAUUUUUGUAUAAAUAACUAAGCCCUUAGCAGUCAAACACAUUCAAGAAAACUUGAAGCUUCUAGGUCUUUAUCUUGGUAUAAGCAAAUGUAUGUUUAUAAUUCCAAAUUUUCCAUAAUCCUUAAUUGGCUUAGCUAAUCAACAAUAAUUCAAGUUAAAUAUUGCUUAAAAAUUUUACAAUUCCAAACAUUCAGUUUAGCACUAAAAAUAACAAUAGAAAUAAAAACUUUAAUAGCUGUAAUAUUUUUAGUUAAUACAUAACUAUCUUUAUCCUACAGCAAUAAUGAAUUAUAAGUUUUUAAAUAAAAAUUGAGCAUUUCGUUCUAGAAUCAUAAUAAUAAUGAAAAGUUACUGAAGAAAAAGAAGAGAGUACAAUAGAAUUCUGAAAUGCAGUAGGAACUGUGGGUAACUAAUAAAUUUGAGCUUUCUCUAUACAAAGGGCUAUGAAAAUGUAGAGAAAUAAAAGCAAAGAGCUAGCAAUAAUAGCAGCCAGAGACUGAAAAGAAUUGUCUUGCAUUAUGACAAUUGGGAGAUAAGCAUAUUAUCGACAUAAUAUGACUCUUGUACAAGAGCAACAUCAUAAUCACUCAAAAACUGUUCAGGAUGGAAAUGAUAGAAUAACCCCCCUUUGCAGAUUAUUAUUGGACUCUCCUGCAGUUGGAGAAAUUAGAAUACUCACUCUCCAUAAUCAAUUCUAGCCAUUAAAUUGGUUUUCAUUUUGACAGAUAUGGUGCACUGGAUUAAAAGUAUUAUGCCUGUGAUCUUCAACAUUAGCUUCCUACAGUUGGCAGACUUAAAUAAUAGAUUUAUUUGGCCACUCUUUACGAUUGUGACUCCCAUAGCAUUGGCUGCAGGAUGCCACUUUUUUCUUUGCCAUCCUUGGCAAAAGUAGCCACAUUUGUAGCAUUGAAUAGCAACCACAGUCCUCAGUAGUAUAUCUAACUCACUGUAGAUUGUGUUUUUUCUAGGCAAGAAUUAUCAUUCAAAUUUGUGAGGUAACUUUGGCCAUCCAAUUUGAUGUCUCUCUCCCAAUUUCCCAUCUGAAAUCAGGGACUGAAAUUCUGUUGGAAUUCUUCAAGGGUAGUGAAUUUCAUUCAGAUUCUCAUUCUGCAAAUGAAUUCCAGAGUUCAUUUUUGUGUAUUUCCGUUGGCAAGGAGGUUUUUUUCUUGUUCUCUAAAAGUUUCACCUUGGACCAUUUGCAGAAUCACUUUUAAAGUCUCUCUAUCCUUAUUUUUGAUUUCAAUGGCCAAAGCUCCUUUCUUCAGCUUGCUAACUCCUUUAACUCCAAUUUUCAGGCAACUCAGGUAAAUACCCUCCUUGAUCUUCUUCACUCUGAAUCUUUGUUUUCAUCUUCUGGUUGAUCAAUAAGGAUCUCAGUUGGAGAUUUCUUCCACUCAUCUCAAAUAGUAGAAGUAAAAGUGUUUGUGAACACAACUUGUUUCCAGGCCAUAACAUUAGACUGAAUUGCUUAAUCCAGUUUCUUUUCUGUCUUCAAAAUUCUUUCUUGAAGACCAACUUGAUUGUCCAGUAAAGAAACAAUAUAAGCAAGGGUCUCUGUAAUAAAAUUACAGGUUAUUCUUGACUUAUCACUGAUGAGAUCUAUUAAUUCUGUAAUUGAUCAAUACAGUUCAAUAAUUUGAGGUUCCUGAUCAACCGAUUGAACUGUAGAACUAGAAUUAGUCAACAAUUACUAUAUAAUUUUAAUUUGCAAAACUUCUGCAAGACAAAAGCAAGAUCUUUCUGCACACACUUCACAUUUCAUGGAGAAAAGCUGCUGCUUUCUAUCAGAAGAAGCAACUUUCCUUCUUUUCUUCAAUAAACAAACACUCCCCUCCUUGACUAUUGAAUUAUCCAUGUUGUCCAUAGUAAAGACAUUCUGCUGCUUAGAUUCACUAACCAGUAAACAUUUAAGUAAUGUAAGCUACCUAUGGACUUUAUCUCAUGAAGGCACAAGUCAACACCCAAAUCAAAAAAGUUUAAAAAAGGAGACAUUGAUAUGUGAAAGAAUAGCUCAUGAAGCCAACAAGAAACAACAUUCUUAAUACUAACUGGGACUGAAAUCCUAAAAUCGUAUUGUUGUUGCCUGGCAACAAUUGUUGAACUCAACUGCUAUGAAACAGAUGAAGCAACAUCUGCAAAAAUAUUGCUGUAAUUCAAAAACCAAAAAUCACAGAAUAAACAUUUUUUACUAUUGUAUUCACAAGAACUUCAGCAAGCAACUGAUAUGAAAUUCAUAUUACAAUUAAAACCACUUGCAUGACUAAUCAAGAAAAUCAAAUAUUACAUGAUAUAUCUUGAUACUUGAACUGUCUGACUUAUCAUGGUUUCAACACUAAAAAUGAAUAUCCUGGUAAUGACCAGAGUGACGUUCUAGUUAAUCCAGAAGUUGGUCAGUUUAUAUUAGUAUUGUAUUCCUUAAAUAUAAUAGCAAUAAUAGAGAAAACAACCAAAUGUUCAUACAAAAAUGUAUUGUGUAUAAGAGAUCUUAUAAUCUUUUGUGUCCUUAGAAAGGGACAAAAAAAUAUGAUGAAUGGC
rnacentral:lncRNA from 1 species